AUUGAACGCUGGCGGCAGGCCUAACACAUGCAAGUCGAACGGUAACAGGAAGCAGCUUGCUGCUUUGCUGACGAGUGGCGGCCGGGUGAGUAAUGUCUGGGAAACUGCCUGAUGGAGGGGGAUAACUACUGGAAACGGUAGCUAAUACCGCAUAACGUCGCAAGCCCAAAGAGGGGGACCUUCGGGCCUCUUGCCAUCGGAUGUGCCCAGAUGGGAUUAGCUAGUAGGUGGGGUAACGGCUCACCUAGGCGACGAUCCCUAGCUGGUCUGAGAGGAUGACCAGCCACACUGGAACUGAGACACGGUCCAGACUCCUACGGGAGGCAGCAGUGGGGAAUAUUGCACAAUGGGCGCAAGCCUGAUGCAGCCAUGCCGCGUGUAUGAAGAAGGCCUUCGGGUUGUAAAGUACUUUCAGCGGGGAGGAAGGGAGUAAAGUUAAUACCUUUGCUCAUUGACGUUACCCGCAGAAGAAGCACCGGCUAACUCCGUG
rnacentral:rRNA from 1 species